AAGCAACGCGCAGAACCUUACCAGCGUUUGACAUGGUAGGACGGUUUCCAGAGAUGGAUUCCUUCCCUUACGGGACCUACACACAGGUGCUGCAUGGCUGUCGUCAGCUCGUGUCGUGAGAUGUUGGGUUAAGUCCCGCAACGAGCGCAACCCUCGUCUCUAGUUGCUACCAUUUAGUUGGGCACUCUAGAGAAACUGCCGGUGAUAAGCCGGAGGAAGGUGGGGAUGACGUCAAGUCCUCAUGGCCCUUACGCGCUGGGCUACACACGUGCUACAAUGGCGGUGACAGUGAGCAGCGACCCCGCGAGGGUGAGCUAAUCUCCAAAAGCCGUCUCAGUUCGGAUUGUUCUCUGCAACUCGAGAGCAUGAAGGCGGAAUCGCUAGUAAUCGCGGAUCAGCAUGCCGCGGUGAAUACGUUCCCAGGCCUUGUACACACCGCCCGUCACACCAUGGGAGUUGGUUUCACCCGAAGGCGCUACGCUAACCCGCAAGGGAGGCAGGCGACCACGGUGGGAUCAGCGACUGGGGUGAAGUCGUAACAAGGUAACCAAGGG
rnacentral:rRNA from 1 species